AUCAGUCAUAAUUCUAGUUAUUAAAGUGUUGUAUGUCACAGCAGUAACCAAGUUUCUUUGUCAAUUGCAUUGUAAUCAGAUUUUAAAGGUGCCUUAAAUCUUUUGUCAUUAUAGACAGUUAUGGUUUCACUCUGAUGCUUUUACAAAAAUGCUUCCUCUUCAAGAAGAUUUCCAGAAAGGACUUUUUGACAAAUACAGGUUUCUGACUUUCAGACCAUAACACUGAACUGGGUAAGAAAUUAAAGAAUUCUAAUGGGAAACCUGAUGGCUUCAUAAAACUGUUAACAGUGUAGGACUGAGUGAACUGGUGACUAUGGCUAUAAUUUUUAUGGUUUCUGUCUGAGAAAUAAUUGGUUUUAGUCUGUGUUUUCCAGAUAUAAGGAAACCCUUCUCCUCAAGCUAAUUAUGACUUAUAGCAAUUUGGUAAAUUAUACCUUUGUAAGCAGAAUUGAAACAUUUAUCUUGCCUCUCUAUCUGAUCCCUCCAGAGACUGGAAAUGCGUAGGUUCCCAGGAGCUUUAUCAGAUAAAUUAGGAAGGACACCUCCUAACAGGUGCAGGAAUCUCAAGGUAUUUGGGGGACCGUGAAAAAGGAGGAAUUCACCUAAAUCUGUAAGACAACGUCUGUGACAAGCUGUUGGCGUGACUUUCGUAGCCCUGAGAGGCCUUUUAAAAGUUCAAUCUGAGACUCCUUAUAAAAGUUCUAGCAAAGCCAUUUUUUUAAAAAAAGAAAAGCCUAUAUGAUCAAUUACAUUUAUAUAAAUCAUCAGGCCAAGUUUAUUGAGACUAGACUUACUUUACAAAUUGGUCUUAAUUUGGCUAUAUUUGGUAGAAAUAAGGGUAAUUUUAGAAAAAGUUAUGUUUCAGUGAAUAUUAAAUUCUAGUUUUGUUGAGGUCUGCAUUUACUGCCUAAGACUGACUUCUCAGUUCCUUGCUGUUAUAUUAAAUUUAACUGAGUCAUUAAUAGGACACUCUUAAGUCUGUUUCUGAAGCUUAUCUAUCUUUGGAUGAAGAUCAGAUGUCCCAAGACCUGUAACCAGGUCAUUAUGUGUACUGGAAAAAGACAUCUUUUAAAGGACCAUCUCCAGCCUAGAUGGAAAGACCCUUAUCAGGUACUCUGCACUAGCUCAUGCACAGCAAAACUGAAGGGAAUUGACUCUUGGAUUAAUAUUUUCACAUAGAAAGGGCCCCUGCACUGGACUGGUCUAUAGAGAGGGCUGCUGAUGUCAAAAUCACCUUGAAACAACGCUCAAAGAGAGGAGAAACUACACUCAUACCAGGAUGAGAAGAAGACAACAUUGGAAGUAGACAGCUGACCUAAGAUGCUGCACCUGACCCGCUGCAAGACUCUUCACUUGAGGCUUUCAACCAUAUUCUCCUCUUGUCAAACAACUAAACUACACCUAUGCUUGAUGGAAAUUAAACAGCUGGUGCUCAGAGUACUACAAUUACAAAGAGAGGGAAAGCGUCAACCCACAGAAGCUGUUACAUGUGACCGCGUGUGACGGGACCUGAUCUCCCUGUUUUACUUAUUUGACUUCAGGGGCAGGGAGCUGCCAAAGCCCCCGCAGUGGAACGGGGAGCUUUAGGAUCAGUUUAGGUCUGCCGUGGAUGCCGUAUGGACCAUGCUUGUUGGACACGUGGGACGUCACGUCGGUGCUCCCAAGCCUUGGUGCCUCGUGGAUUUAUGCAUGUGACAGUGAAAAUAAAUUAAAACACCGUGAGACGGAACCUAAGAAGAACGACCUGCAGGUAUUGAGGCGGGGCAGUGGGCUCAUCUGCCUGCAGCCGAGGCACCGGGUUUGAGGAUGCCCGGCAGCUUGUCGGAGCCUGGCACCUUCCAGGGCCCUGGCGCGACAGCAGCCUUGCGCGCAGGGGUUCCCCCCGGGGGCCUGGGCCCCGCACGUGUGCCUGCCCUGCCCUCAGCCUCCCGCACACCCCUGCCGCGGCCUGGGCCCACAAACGCAGGUGCCACUCCAGGGCCUUCGCGCCGGCCAAGCUCGGGGCCCACUGUGGCAUGCAGCCCCUCCUUGCUGCUGGCCCGCGCUGCGUCCACUGCUGUGGGCCCGGGUGCCCUGGCCUCUGAGGAGGGCCUGCUGGCCUCAGGCUGCCCCUGGCCACCAGGCACCUCCGCGAGCCUCGGCUGCACGGCCCUCUGCGGGCUUGCCGAAAGCUCGCUCUGCUCCCCGAGGCGCUGCUUCUUCUGGCUGCCGGCUGAAAGCUCCUUUGGUUUCCUAACGUCGUGUUCCCUUUUGAUAUCCCAAGUUGGGUCUGGGCUUAUCUGGUUGUUCGGGUCGGAUGGUGGGGCUGGAUGUGAUGGAGAGAAUGGAGAGAGGAUGUCCUCGAGGGAGACGCCUACUUCCGGCAGACCUGGGGAGGCGGCAGCGGGAGAACUCCAGGAGCUGGAAUCGUCUGUGGGGCAGGAAGCACAGGCAUUAGAGCCGUGCAGCACAUGCUUUUCACACUCCCACCACCUCCCUCCCCAUUGGGAAUGAGAGCAGGCGGCCAGGGGCCACUCCUCGCGAGGUCCCAGGCCACUGCCACCCCCCACCCUCACUGCCAGGAGGGCAGCUGACCUUAUCCCUCGGGAUUCUAUGUUCCCCAUCCUCUUUACGCCACCCCUUCCCUCUUUGGGUGUUCAGGAAAGUGGUUACAAAGCUCAGGCCUAACCCAUCCCUUUGCCCCUUCUAACUUGCUGCAGUGUCAUCAGGUCUGCCAGCCCUGUGUGGAUAUCUGACUUGGGAGCACCUGAAUCAGUGGUUCUCAAACUCAAGGAUACAUGUGAAUCACCUGGGGCAGCUGUGAAAAAUACAGAUUCCUCAGUGGUCAGACCCAGAGAUUCCAGUAGGAUAGGGCCAAAGAAUUUCUCUGCAUUUUUAACAGGCACCCAGGUAAUUCGGAAAAUGGUUGGGGGAGUAACUAACUUUCUCAAACAUUAGGUGUCACUCAAGACAUAAUUCUUAGCUACCACCAGAUACAGAAUUUGGAUAAAUUCAUCUAUAAAAAGGUUCAUUAUUCCGUUCAGGGACAGAGGUGGGCGGCCGGAACAGGCUGGUGCAGAAGGAGGAACGCUUUUGUGAGGUUUUGCCUGCAGGUGUUAGAAAGUUUUGCAGAAACUUUGACUUCCUGGAUGGACACCCUUUAGGAGCUCUUUCCCAUAUAUAUAUAUCUCUCCAACUUUCCUUUGAGGUUAUAUUGUCAAAUUUGUGUUCCAAGAUUCAAACAGGUAAUAUGAAGCUGCCUAUUAGAUGUUCAAACUUUAUGGUUAAAACACAGGUUAUUUUAUUCUGCAAGAACCUGAGGUUGGUUGGAGACAAGAUGGCAGAGUAAAAGGACCUUGAGCUCACCUCCUCUCACAAGCAUGCCAAAAUCACAACUAACUAACUGCUAAACAACCAUUGAUAAAAAAGACUGGAAUCUACCAAAAAAACGAUAUUCUGCAUCCAAAGACAUAAGAAGAAACCAAGAGAUGGUAGGAGGGGUGCACUCGUGAUAUAAUCAAAUCCCAUAUGACCCAGGUGGGUGACCCACAAACUGGAGAAUGAUCAUAUCACAAAAGUUCUCCCACCAGCAAGAGAGCCUCUGAGCCCCAUGCCAGGCUCCCCAGCCUAGAGGUCUGACAUGGGGAGGUGGAGCCCCCAGAGUAUUUGCCUUUGAAGACUAGCAGGGCUUGAGUGCAGGAGCCCCACAGUCCUGGGGGAAACAGAGACUCCACUCUUGGAGUGUGCACACAAGGUACUGUAUGCAACAGGACCCAGGGCAAAAGGAGUAACUCCAUAGGAGCUUGGGCCAGACCUACCUGCUGGUCUUGGAGAGCCGCCUGCAAAGGUGGGGGCAGCUGUGGCUCUUUCUGGGGUCAUAAAAGCUGGUGAUGGACAUAGCAGGGACCUAUGUGAACUCUGGCUGGAGGCAGAGAUUUUGGGCCCUUGGCACCAAGACCUGGUCCCCCAAACACUCUGUAGGCUCCAGCACUGGGACGCCUCAGGCCAAACAACCAACAGGGUGGGAACACGGCCCCACCCAGCAGACAGACAACAGUCACCCAAGUCCAGGAAGCGCAGAGAGUCCCAUACAGGACUAACCCAAGGAGGAACACGCUGAGACACAGAGCAAAGAGGAAAUAUUAAAAGCAACAAGGGAAAAGCCAAAAAUUACAUACAAGGGAACCCCCAUAAGAUUAGCAGCUGAUUUUUCAGCAGAAACUCUGCAGGCCAGAAGGGAGUGGCAGGGCAUAUUUAAAGUGAUGAAAGGGAAAAAUCUACAACCAAGAUUACCCAGCAAGGACCUCAUUCAGAUUCAAUGGAGAAAUUAAAAGCUUUACAGACAAGCAAAAGCUAAGAGAAUUCAGCACCACCAAACCAGCUCUACAACAAAUGCUAAAGGAACUUCUCUAAGUGGAAAAGACAAGGCCACAACUAGAAACAAAAAAAGUAUGAAAUGGGAAAGCUCACUGAUAAAGGCAGGAAAUCAUCCACACACAAAUAUGAUAUCAAAAUCAGUAAUUGUGAGACGAGGAGAGCACGAAUGCAGCAUACUUGAAAUGCACUUGAAAUUAAGAGAUCAGCAACUUAAACAACCAUGUAUACAUACAGACUGCUAUAUCAAAACCUUACGGUAACCACAAACGAAAGUCUAUAAUAGAUAUACACACACACACACAAAAGGAAUCCAAAGACAACACUAAAGAUAGUCAUCAAAUCACAAAAGAACAAAAAAGGAAGAAAAAAGACCUACAAAAACAAAUCCAAACAAUUAAGAAAAUGGCAAUUAGAACAUACAUAUUGGUAAUUACCUUAAAUGUAAAUAGAUUAAAUGCUCCCACCAAAAGACAUAGACUGGCUGAAUGGAUACAAAAACAAGACAUGUAUAUAUGCUGUCUACAAGAGACCCACUUCAGACCUAGGGACACAUACAGACUGAAAGGGGAUGGAAAAAGGUAUUUCAUGCAAAUGGAAAUCAAAAGAAAGCUGGAAUAGCAAUACUCAUAUCAGACAAACUAGACUUUAAAAUAAAGACUGUUACAAGAGCCAAGGAAGGAAACUACAUAAUGAUCAAGGGAUCGAUCCAAGAAGAAGAUAUAACAAUUGUAAAUAUUCAUGCACCCAAUAUAGGAGCACCUCAAUAUAUACAACAAAUGUUAACAGACAUAGAAGGAGAAAUUGACAGUAACACAAUCAUAGUGGGGGAUUUUAACACCCCACUUAAAUCAAUAGAUCAUCCAGACAGAAAAUCAAUAAGGAAACGCAGGCCUUAAAUGACAUAUUAGACCAGAUGAACUAAAUUGAUACUUAAAGAACAUUCCAUGCUAAAGGAGCAGAACAUACAUUCUUCUCAAGUGCACAUGCAACAUUCUCCAGAGUAGAUCACAUGUUGGGCCACAAAGAAAGUCUUGAUAAGUUUAAGAAAAUUGAAAUCAAAUGAAGCAUCUUUUCCAACCACAACACUAUGAGUUUAGAAAUUAACUUGAAGAAAAAAAAUGCAAAAAACACAAAUACAUGGAGGAUAAACAAUCUGCUACUAAAUAACCAAUGGAUCACUGAAGAAAUCAAAGAGGCAAUCAAAAAAUACCUAGACAAAUGAAAAUGAUCCAAAACCUAUGGGAGACAGCAAAAGCAGUUCUAGGAGGGAAGUUUGCAGCAAUACAAUCUUACCUCAAGAAACAUGAAAAAUCCCAAACAACCUAACCUUACACCUAAAGCAACUAGAGAAAGAAGAACAAACAAAACCCAAAGUUAGUAGAAGGAAAGAAAUCAUAAAGAUCAGAUCAGAAAUAAAUGAAAAAGAAAUGAAGGAAACAAUAGCAAAGAUCAAUAAAACUAAAAGCUGGUUCUUUGAAAAGAUAAACAAAAUUGAUAAACCUUUAGCCAGACUCAUCAAGAAAAAGGAUAGGACCCAAAUCAAUAAAAUUAGAAAUGAAAAUGGAGAAGUUACAACGGACACCGCAGAAAUACAAAGGCAUCCUAAGAGACUACUAGAAGCAACUACAUGCCAAUAAAAUGGACAACCUGGAAGAAAUGGACAAAUUCUUAGAAAGGUACACUCUCCCAAGACUGAACCAGGAAGAAAUAGAAAAUAUGAACAGACCAAUUAAAAGUACUGAAAUUGAAUCUGUGAUUAAAGAACUCCCAACAAACAAAAGUCCAGGACCAGAUGGCUACACAGGCGAAUUCUACCCAACAUUCGGAGAAGAGGUAACACCUAUCCUUCUGAAACUAUUUCAGAGAAUUGCAGAGCAAGGAACACUUCCCAAACCCAUUCUAUGAGGCAACCAUCACCCUAAUACCAAAAUCAGACAAAAGAUUCCACAAAAAAAAGAAAAUCAUAGGCCAAUAUCACUGAUGAGCAUAGACGUAAAAAUCCUCAACAAAAUCCGCAAACUGAAUUCAACAGCACAUUAAAAGGAUCAUACACCAUGAUCAAGUGGGAUUUAUCCCAGGGGAUACAAGGAUUUUUCAAUACCCAUGAAUCAAUCAGUGUGAUACACCACAUUAACAAAUUGAAGAAGAAAAACCAGAUGAUCAUCUCAACAGAUGCAGAAAAAGCUUUUGAUAAAAUUCAACCUCCAUUUAUGAUUAAAAAACUCUCCAGAAACUGGGCAUAGAGGGAACCUACCUCAACAUAAUAAAGGCCAUUUACAGACACACAGCAAACAUCAUUCUCAAUGGUGAAAAACUGAAAGCAUUUCCUGUAAGAUCAGGAACAAGACAAGGAUGUCCACUCUCACCACUUUUAUUCAACAUAGUUGUACAAGUCCUAGCCACAGCUAUCAGAGAAGAAAUAAAGGGGAUCCAAAUUGGAAAAGAGUAAAACUCUCACUGUUUGCAGAUGACAUGAUACUGUAAUACCUAGAAAAUCCUAAAGAUGCUACCAGAAAACUACUAGAGCUCAUCAAUGUAUUUGGUAAAGUUGCAAGGUACAAAAUUAAUACACAGAAAUCUGUUGCAUUUCUAUGCAUUAACAAUGAAAGAAAGAGAAACUAAGGAAACAAUCCCACUUACCACUUCAUCAAAAAGAAUAAAAUACCUAGGAAUAAACCUAAGGAGGCAAAAGACCUGUACUCUGAAAACUGUAAGACACUGAUGAAAGAAAUUGAAGAUGACCCAAACAGAUGGAAAGAUACACCGUGUUCUUGGAUUGGAAGAAUCAACAUUGUCCAAAUGACUAUACUACCCAAGGCAAUCUACAGAUUCAGUGCAAUCCCUAUCAAAUUAGCAAUGGCAUUUUUCACAGAACUAGAACAAAAAAUUUUUAAAGUUGUAUGGAAACACAAAAGACCCCAAACAGUCAAAGCAAUCUUGAGAAGAAAAAAAAAAAACCAAGCUGGAGGAAUCAGGCUCCCUGACUUCAGACUAUACUACAAAGCAACAGUAGUCAAAACAGUAUGAUACUGGCACAAAAACAGACACAUAGAUCAAUGGAACAGGAUAGAAAGCCCAGAAAUAAACCCAUGCAGCUAUCAUCAAUUAAUCUAUGACAAAGGAGGCAAGAAUAUACAAUGGAGAAAAGACAGUCUCUUCAAUAAGUGGAGCUGGGAAAACUGGUCAGCUACAUGUAUUGCGUUGGCCAAAAUGUAUGUUUGGGUUUUUCCAUAAUCUUACGGAAUUAUUACCUAAUUAAUUACCUAAUUAGUCUUACAGAAAAAUCCAAACGAAAUUCUUAGCCAACCCAAUAAAAGAAUGAAAUUAGAACACUCCCUAACACCAUACACAAAAAUAAAAUCAAAAUGGAUUAAAGACCUAAAUGUAAGACUGGAUACUAUAAAACUUCUAGAGGAAAACAUAGGCAGGACACUCUUCAACAUAAAUCAUGACACUAUCUUUUUGGAUCUGUCUCCUAGAAUAAUGGAAAUAAAAACAAAGAUAAACAAAUGGGACCUAAUGAAACUUCAAAGCUUUUGCAUAGCAAAGGAAACUAUAAACAAAACAAAAAGACUAGCUAUGGAAUGGGGGAAAACAUUUGAAAGUGAUACAGCCAACAAGGGAUUAAUUUCCAAAAUAUACAAAGAGCUCGUAUAGUUCAAUAUUAAAAAACCAAACAACCCAAUCAAAAAAUGGGCAGAAUAUCUAAAUAGACAUUUCUCCAAAGAAGACAUACAGAUGGCCAAUAAGCACAUGAAAAGAUGCUCAACAUCGCUAACUAUUAGAGAAAUGCAAUUGAAAACUACAAUGAGGUAUCACCUCACACUGGUCAGAAUGGCCAUCAUCAAAAAGUCUACAAGCCAUAAAUGCUGGAGAGGGUGUGGAGAGAAGGGAAUCCUCCUACACUGUUGGUGGGAAUGUAAAUUGGUACAGCCACUAUGGAGAAGAGUAUGCAGGUUCCAUUGAAAAAACUAAAAAUAGAGCUACCAUAUCAUCCGGCAGUCCCACUCCUAGGCGAAUAUCUAGAGAAAACCAUAAUUCCAAAAGAUACAUGCACCCCAAUGGUCAUUGCAGCACUAUUUACAAUAGCCAAGGCAUGGAAACAACGUAAGUGUCCAUCAUCAGAUGAAAGGAUGAAGAAGAUGUGGUGUAUAUGGAAUAUUACUCAGCCAUUAAACAAAGAAAUGUUAUCUGCAGCAAAUGGAUGGACCUAGAGAUUAUCAUACUAAGUGAAGUCAGACAGAGAAAGAUAAAUAUCAUAUAAUGUCGAUUAUAUGUGGAAUCUUAAAAAAAAACAAUAAAAAAGAUACAAAUGAGCUCAUUUUCUAAACAGAAAGAGAUUCACAGACAUAAAAAACAAACUUACGGUUACCAAAGGUAAAAGGGGAGUGAGGGGAAGGAUAAAUUAGGAGGUUGAGAUUAAUAUAUACACUCUACUAUAUAUAAAAUAGACAAACAACAGGGACCUACUGUGUAGCAUAGGGAACUAUACUCAGUAUUUUGUGAUGGCCUAUGGAGGAAGAGAAUCUGAAGAAUAUAUGUAUGUAUGUAGAACUGAAUCACUGUGCUGUACACCUGAAACUAACAUGAUAUUGUAAAUCAA